ACUCCUACGGGAGGCAGCAGUGGGAAUAUUGGACAAUGGGGAACCGUAGCAUCCAGCAAUGCCGCAGUGUGUGAAGAAGGCCUGAGGGUUGUAAAGCACUUUCAGUGGGGAGGAACGGUUACUGUUUAAGAGAUAGUAGCUUUGACGUUACCCACAGAAGCAGCACCGGCUAACUCCGUGCCAGCAGCCGCGGUAAUACGGAGGGUGCAAGCGUUAAUCGGAAUUACUGGGCGUAAAGGGCGCGUAGGUUGUUUAGUAAGUUGGCUGUGAAAGCCC
rnacentral:rRNA from 1 species